GGUCACGAGUACCAGCGUUCAGCCCCGGCUUGCUGGUCGGCAACCCUCCUCCGCGGUGGGGUGCUCCGGGUGACGACCAGGCUGACGUCCGAAUUGGGCGCGGCAAGCGCGGGCC
rnacentral:ncRNA from 2 species